AGUGGUAGCGCCCUCCCGGGGGUUAAGCUACGGACUUCUGACUAAAAUCUGGACUACUGCGCACUGGAUGGGGAUAACUUCUGGAAACUCUAGCUGAGGUCGCUUCUCGUUGCAUGACCAAUUGGGGGGACGUUCGUAGCUCUAGCCAUCGUAUGUGCCAUGAUGAGAUUAGCUUGUAGUCAGGGCCACGGCUCUCCAGUGCGACACUCCCAGUCUGGUUUGAGAGGAUGACCAGCCACGCUGGAACUGAAGGACACGGUCCAGACUCGCUACGGGACUUAGCAGUGGGGAAUAUUUCACAAUGGGCGCGAGCCUGAUGCAGCCAUGCAGCGUGUAUGAAAGAGGCCUUCGGGGCAUAAAGUACUUUCAGGGGGGAGGAAGGCGAUGAGGUUAAUAGGUUUGUCGAUUGACGUUGCCCGCAGAAGAAGCACCGGCUACACUCCGUGCCAGCAGCCGCGGUAAUACAGAGGGUGCAAGCGUUAAUCGGAAUUACUGGGCGUAAAGCGCAGGCAGGCGGUCUGUCAAGUCGGAUCCGAAAUCCCCGGGCUCAACCUGGGCACUGCAUUCGAAACUGGCAUCGGCUAGAGUCUUGACUAGAGGGGGGUAGAAUUCCAGGUGCUCCGGUGAAAUGCGUAGAGAUCUGGAGGAAUACCUUUGGCGAAGGCGGCCCCCUGGACAAAGACUGACGCUCAGAUGCGAAAGCGUGGGGAGCAAACAGGAUUAGAUACCCUGGUAGUCCAGACCGUAAACGAUGUCGACUUGGAGUGUUGUGCCCAGGUUGAGGCCGUGGCUUCCGGAGCUAACGCGUUAAGUCGACUGCCUGGGGAGUACGGCCAGCAAGGUUAAAACUCAAAUGAAUUGACGGGGGCCCGCACAAGCGGUGGAGCCGGUGGUUUAAUUCGAUGCAACGUCAAGAACCUUACCUACUCUUGACAUCGCAGAGAACUUUCCAGAGAUGGCUUGGUGCCUUCGGGGCCUCUGAGACAGGUGCGGCAUGGCUGUCGUCAGCUCGUGUUGUGAAAUGUUGGGUUAAGUCCCGCAACGAGCGCAACCCUGUCUCCUUUCCAGUUGCCAGCGGUCAGGCCGGGAACUCAAAGGAGACUGUCAGUGAUAAACUGGAGGAAGGUGGGGACAACGUCAAGUCAUCAUGGCCCUUUAACGAGUAGGGCUACACACGUGCUACAAUGGCGCAUACAAAGAGAAGCGAACCCUCGCGAGAGCAAGCGGACCUCAUAAAGUGCGUCGUAGUCCGGAUUGGAGUCUGCAACUCGACUCCAUGAAGUCGGAAUCGCUAAAAAUCGUAGAUCAGAAUGCAACGGUGAAAUAAUUCCCAAUGUUUUAAACGCAUGGACUGUCUUUAUCAUGCGGGUAUGAUUGCGGGUCAGGUAGGAGGC
rnacentral:rRNA from 1 species